rnacentral:rRNA from 1 species
UUAACGCUGAGGUGUGAUGACGAGGCACUACGGUGCUGAAGUAACAAAUGCCCUGCUUCCAGGAAAAGCCUCUAAGCAUCAGGUAACACGAAAUCGUACCCCAAACCGACACAGGUGGUCAGGUAGAGAAUACCAAGGCGCUUGAGAGAACUCGGGUGAAGGAACUAGGCAAAAUGGUGCCGUAACUUCGGGAGAAGGCACGCUGAUAUGUAGGUGAAGCCCCUGCGGGUGGAGCUGAAAUCAGUCGAAGAUACCAGCUGGCUGCAACUGUUUAUUAAAAACACAGCACUGUGCAAACACGAAAGUGGACGUAUACGGUGUGACGCCUGCCCGGUGCCGGAAGGUUAAUUGAUGGGGUUAGCGGCAACGCGAAGCUCUUGAUCGAAGCCCCGGUAAACGGCGGCCGUAACUAUAACGGUCCUAAGGUAGCGAAAUUCCUUGUCGGGUAAGUUCCGACCUGCACGAAUGGCGUAAUGAUGGCCAGGCUGUCUCCACCCGAGACUCAGUGAAAUUGAACUCGCUGUGAAGAUGCAGUGUACCCGCGGCAAGACGGAAAGACCCCGUGAACCUUUACUAUAGCUUGACACUGAACACUGGUCCUUGAUGUGUAGGAUAGGUGGGAGGCUUUGAAGCGUGGACGCCAGUCUGCGUGGAGCCGUCCUUGAAAUACCACCCUUUAAUGGCUGGUGUUCUAACGUAGACCCGUGAUCCGGGUUGCGGACAGUGUCUGGUGGGUAGUUUGACUGGGGCGGUCUCCUCCCAAAGAGUAACGGAGGAGCACGAAGGUUAGCUAAUCCUGGUCGGACAUCAGGAGGUUAGUGCAAUGGCAUAAGCUAGCUUGACUGCGAGAGUGACGGCUCGAGCAGGUGCGAAAGCAGGUCAUAGUGAUCCGGUGGUUCUGAAUGGAAGGGCCAUCGCUCAACGGAUAAAAGGUACUCCGGGGAUAACAGGCUGAUACCGCCCAAGAGUUCAUAUCGACGGCGGUGUUUGGCACCUCGAUGUCGGCUCAUCACAUCCUGGGGCUGAAGUAGGUCCCAAGGGUAUGGCUGUUCGCCAUUUAAAGUGGUACGCGAGCUGGGUUUAGAACGUCGUGAGACAGUUCGGUCCCUAUCUGCCGUGGGCGCUGGAGAAUUGAGGGGGGCUGCUCCUAGUACGAGAGGACCGGAGUGGACGCAUCACUGGUGUUCGGGUUGUCAUGCCAAUGGCACUGCCCGGUAGCUAAAUGCGGAAAAGAUAAGUGCUGAAAGCAUCUAAGCACGAAACUUGCCCCGAGAUGAGUUCUCCCUGACCCUUUAAGGGUCCUGAAGGAACGUUGAAGACGACGACGUUGAUAGGUCGGGUGUGUAAGCGCAGCGAUGCGUUGAGCUAACCGAUACUAAUGAACCGUGAGGCUUAACCUUACAACGCCGAAGCUGUU